GACAGAGGGUGCAAACGUUGUUCGGAAUUACUGGGCGUAAAGCGUGUGUAGGCGGUCCGCUAAGUCGGGUGUGAAAGCCCUGGGCUCAACCCAGGAAGUGCACUCGAAACUGGCGGGCUAGAGUAUCGGAGAGGUUGGUGGAAUUCUCGGUGUAGAGGUGAAAUUCGUAGAUAUCGAGAGGAACACCGGUGGCGAAGGCGGCCAACUGGACGAAUACUGACGCUGAGACGCGAAAGCGUGGGGAGCAAACAGG
rnacentral:rRNA from 1 species